rnacentral:lncRNA from 1 species
CUUCAGGCACUAGCCGUCCCAGAAGGGUUUGAAGAGUCCUAAGCUCCUUAUCUCAUGCAUGAGAGGUGAGUUCAUCUAUUGAUCAUCAAGUUCUUUGCCCUGAACGAGAUUCCCUCACAUGGCUAGCAAUGAUCGCCUCCUCUUGGCAGAAAUAAGGAUGGAGACGUGGUGAUAAUCAGGUUGGCCCCAAAGAAACUUAUGAUUUGGAUGUUUUAGAUAGGAUUUAGAUUUAUUGGGUUCAUUUAGAUCACAUCAUCCUUGAGAUAGAGUAAUCAUUUCCUUGUGCUCCAUCUCUUCUUUCUCAUAAACCAUCAUUCG